CCUACGGUGGGCUGCAGUGGGGAAUAUUGGACAAUGGGCGAAAGCCUGAUCCAGCCAUGCCGCGUGUGUGAAGAAGGCCUUCGGGUUGUAAAGCACUUUCAGUGGGGAAGAAAGCCUUGGGGCUAAUACCCUCGAGGAAGGACAUCGCCCACAGAAGAAGCACCGGCUAACUCCGUGCCAGCAGCCGCGGUAAUACGGAGGGUGCGAGCGUUAAUCGGAAUUACUGGGCGUAAAGCGCGCGUAGGCGGUCUGAUAAGCCGGUUGUGAAAGCCCCGGGCUCAACCUGGGAACGGCAUCCGGAACUGUCCGGCUAGAGUGCAGGAGAGGAAGGUAGAAUUCCCGGUGUAGCGGUGAAAUGCGUAGAGAUCGGGAGGAAUACCAGUGGCGAAGGCGGCCUUCUGGACUGACACUGACGCUGAGGUGCGAAAGCGUGGGUAGCAAACAGGAUUAGAUACCCGUGUAGUC
rnacentral:rRNA from 1 species